rnacentral:rRNA from 1 species
CCUACGGGGGGCAGCAGUAGGGAAUCUUGCACAAUGGGCGAAAGCCUGAUGGAGCAACGCAGCGUGGGUGAAGAAGGUCUUCGGAUUGUAAAACCCUGUUGUUAGAGAAGAAAGUGCGUGAGAGUAACUGUUCACGUUUCGACGGUAUGCAACCAGAAAGCCACGGCUAACUCCGUGCCAGCAGCUGCGGGAAUACGUAGGUGGCAAGCGUUAUCCGGAUUUAUUGGGUGUAAAGGGAACGCAGGCGGUCUUUUAAGUCUGAUGUGAAGGCCUUCGGCUUAACCGGAGUAGUGCAUUGGAUACUGGGAGCCUUGAGUGCAGUAGAUGAGAGUGGAACUCCAUGUGUAGCGGUGAAAUGCGUAGAUAUAUGGAAGAACACCAGUGGCGAAAGCGGCUCUCUGGUCUGUAACUGACGCUGAGGUUCGAAAGCGUGGGUAGCAAACAGGAUUAGAUACCCCUGUAGUC